rnacentral:rRNA from 1 species
UACAGAGGGUGCGAGCGUUAAUCGGAAUUACUGGGCGUAAAGCGUGCGUAGACGGCUAUCUAAGUCGGGUGUGAAAGCCCCGGGCUCAACCUGGGAAUGGCGAUGGUGACUGCAAGGCUAGAGUUUGGCAGAGGGGGGUAGAAUUCCACGUGUAGCAGUGAAAUGCGUAGAGAUGUGGAGGAACACCGAUGGCGAAGGCAGCCCCCUGGGUCAAAACUGACGCUCAUGCACGAAAGCGUGGGGAGCAAACAGG